rnacentral:tRNA from 1 species
GGGGCGGUGGGUGAGCGGUUGAAACCACCCGACUGUAAAUCGGGCGCCGUGCUCAGAACACGGCCGUGGGUCCAAAUCCCACCCGCCCCG